rnacentral:other from 1 species
AGUCACACAAAAGAAGCGAACAUCAGGAUGAUGACGCUUCAGGGAACACACCAGGACGGUGCUACAGGGAAAGGCUUCAGGAUGAAGCGAAAGGAAAACGCAGGAAUGCGUUAAAGGACACCUCCAGGAGGGAGAACGAGAGCCGGUCGGGAUGUUCGGUGGAUCAGGAAGAUCAAGGAAUGCUUAAGGAUGAGUAUAUUCACAUCGGGGUGGUGUGAAGCAGGAUGCACGCGUUUACGGAUGAACAUGGGUCAGGAGACCCCAGGAAAAGUUGUCAAGGAUGAGCAGGGAGCACGUUGAGUAGCCGGAUUGCUGCGAAACGAACCGGGAGCACUGUUUCGACAGUGCUCCCUUUUUUUGUU